UUAAGGUAGUGGCGGACGGGUGAGUAACGCGUGAGCAACCUGCCUCUGACAGCGGGAUAACAUUGGGAAACUGGUGCUAAUACCGCAUGAACACACCGGGUUUGCAUGGACCUGGUGUCAAAGAAGCAAUUCGGUCAGAGAUGGGCUCGCGUCUGAUUAGUUAGUUGGCGGGUAACGGCCCACCAAGACGACGAUCAGUAGCCGGACUGAGAGGUCGAACGGCCACAUUGGAACUGAGAAACGGUCCAGACUCCUACGGGAGGCAGCAGUGGGGAAUAUUGGGCAAUGGGCGAAAGCCUGACCCAGCGACGCCGCGUGGAGGAAGAAGGUCUUCGGAUUGUAAACUCCUGUCAACAGGGAAGAAGCAAGUGACGGUACCUGUAGAGGAAGCCACGGCUAACUACGUGCCAGCCGCGGC
rnacentral:rRNA from 1 species